ACAAAGUGUCAUGUCAUCCUACACACACCAAAUCCCACCUGAUUUUGGAUGUUAAGCAGGGUCACACUGAUUAGUUCUUGGAUGGCAGAUUGCUAGGGCAUACCAGGGACAUUCAGGU
rnacentral:rRNA from 1 species